UACGUAGGGGGCGAGCGUUGUCCGGAGUUACUGGGCGUAAAGGGCGCGCAGGCGGUCUGGUAAGUUUGGAGUGACAGUGCUCGGCUUAACUGAGCAAGGCCUUCGAAAACUAUCAGACUUGAGCACUCAAGAGGGACAUAGAAUUCCGGGUGGAGUGGUGAAAUGCGUAGAUAUCCGGAGGAAUACCAAAGGCGAAGGCAGUGUCCUGGGGAGUGUCUGACGCUCAGGCGCGAAAGCUAGGGGAGCGAACAGG
rnacentral:rRNA from 1 species